UACGUAGGGUGCAAGCGUUAAUCGGAAUUACUGGGCGUAAAGCGUGCGCAGGCGGCUUUGCAAGACAGAUGUGAAAUCCCCGGGCUUAACCUGGGAACUGCAUUUGUGACUGCAUGGCUAGAGUGCGGCAGAGGGGGAUGGAAUUCCGCGUGUAGCAGUGAAAUGCGUAGAUAUGCGGAGGAACACCGAUGGCGAAGGCAAUCCCCUGGGCCUGCACUGACGCUCAGGCACGAAAGCGUGGGGAGCAAACAGG
rnacentral:rRNA from 1 species